rnacentral:rRNA from 1 species
GAUGAACGCUGGCGGCGUGCCUAAUACAUGCAAGUCGAGCGAACGGACGAGAAGCUUGCUUCUCUGAUGUUAGCGGCGGACGGGUGAGUAACACGUGGAUAACCUACCUAUAAGACUGGGAUAACUUCGGGAAACCGGAGCUAAUACCGGAUAAUAUUUUGAACCGCAUGGUUCAAAAGUGAAAGACGGUCUUGCUGUCACUUAUAGAUGGAUCCGCGCUGCGUUAGCUAGUUGGUAAGGUAACGGCUUACCAAGGCAACGAUGCAUAGCCAACCUGAGAGGGUGAUCGGCCACACUGGAACUGAGACACGGUCCAGACUCCUACGGGAGGCAGCAGUAGGGAAUCUUCCGCAAUGGGCGAAAGCCUGACGGAGCAACGCCGCGUGAGUGAUGAAGGUCUUCGGAUCGUAAAACUCUGUUAUUAGGGAAGAACAUAUGUGUAAGUAACUGUGCACAUCUUGACGGUACCUAAUCAGAAAGCCACGGCUAACUACGUG